rnacentral:rRNA from 1 species
UAGGGAAUCUUCGGCAAUGGACGAAAGUCUGACCGAGCAACGCCGCGUGAGUGAAGAAGGUUUUCGGAUCGUAAAACUCUGUUGUUAGAGAAGAACAAGGACGUUAGUAACUGAACGUCCCCUGACGGUAUCUAACCAGAAAGCCACGGCUAACUACGUGCCACCAGCCGCGGUAAUACGUAGGUGGCAAGCGUUUUCCGGAUUUAUUGGGCGUAAAGCGAGCGCAGGCGGUUUCUUAAGUCUGAUGUGAAAGCCCCCGGCUCAACCGGGGAGGGUCAUUGGAAACUGAGAGACUUGAGUGCAGAAGAGGAGAGUGGAAUUCCAUGUGUAGCGGUGAAAUGCGUAGAUAUAUGGAGAAACACCAGUGGCGAAGGCGGCUCUCUGGUCUGUAACUGACGCUGAGGCUCGAAAGCGUGGGGUGCAAACAGG